rnacentral:tRNA from 1 species
GGCAGCGUAGCUCAGUUGGUUAGAGCGAGGGACUCAUAAGCCCUAGGUCACUGGUUCGACUCCAGUCGCUGCUA